rnacentral:lncRNA from 1 species
AGAGUCGGUGAAGGCUUUAAAGGAAGUAGGCAGCUGGAACCCGGCUGUGGCGGGUUGAAAAGCCCGGGCGUUUGAGAGCUGAGACUUGCCAGUUCCCACAGGCCAAGCCAGGCGUCUGCACCCCAUUCUCUUGGUUCCGACGGUGUGUCUCUGCGAUGUUUUGGCGGUCUCUCCUCUCCAUCCCCUUAAUAAUACUGGUCUCUGUUUCACCCGUACCCCUCUACACGAGCAGGUGCAAAUUGUCAUUGAACCGGGAAAGUGGGCACACACUCAGAUGCCUCCAUGGACACGUGAGAAACCAUGCUUCUGUUUCAGCCUAUUGCUGACACGCGGGAAUGUGGGCCCUGUGAUGCCAGAUCUUACUUUCUUUCCUUUCUUCCUCUCUUCUCCCCUCUCUACUUCCUUCCCUCUCUCCUUCCCUCCCGCCCUCCCUCCUCUUUGUGUGUGUGAUAAAAUCUAUCUAACAUAAAAUUCACCAUUUUUAAGUGUACAGUUCACUGGCAUUAAGUACAUUCACAUUGUUGUGAAACCAUCACCACUAUCCAUCUCCAGAACUUUUUCAUUAUCCCAAAUAGAAAAUCUGCCUGUUACACAGUAACUCCCCGUUACCCGUUUCUCACAACCCCUUAUAGCCGAUAUUGCACUUUCUGUCUGUAAGUGCGAGGUACCGCAUAUAAAUUGAAUCAUACAAUAAUUGCUCUUUUCUGAUUGGCUUAUUUCACUUAGCAUAAUGUCUUCAAGGAGCAUCUAUGUUGUAGCAUGUAUCAGAAUUUCUUCCUUCUUGAGGCUAAAUAAUAUUCCAUUAUACAUGUAUACUACAUUUUGUUUAUCCAUUCAUCCAUAUAAAUGGAUGCUUGGUUAUUCCCACCUUUUGGCUAUUGUGAAUAAUGCUGCUAUGAACUUUGGUAUACAAAUAAUCAUUCUCCACAUAAUACGCAGAAAGAGUUUUCUAAAAUGUAAAAAUCUGUUCAAGUUACCUCCCUCCUGAAAAUCUUCUAUGGUAAAUUGAAACCAAAAUAUGAUACUAUUAAACACUCCAUAGAAUAGCUGAAAUGAAAAGACUGACAAUUCCCUUAGUUGCAAAGAUGCAGAAAUGGGACUCUCAUACAGUGUUGAUGGGAGUGUAAAAUGGUACAACCACUUUGGAAACAUCAGUCUCUACUGAAAUCAAAUUUACCCCUACCCUAUACCCCAGAAAUCCCAUUUCUAGAUAUUUACCCCAAAAAAUGAAUGCCUUUAUUCACCAAAAGACUCAUAGCAGCUUUAUUCAUAAUAGCCAAAGGGAAAAAACCCAGAUGUCCACCAAUAGAUGAAUAGAUAAAUUGCAGCUUAUUCAUAUAACUGUAUACUACUGUUGAAGAAUAAUUUUAAUAUCAAAUAUAAUACAGAUAUAAAAUAAAUGUUAGAGAUUUUAUUUAACUCAUUAAUGAAUGAGAUAUCCAGAAAGAUUACAACUGCUUCAAUGGAAAAUUCAAAGUACCACACACAUAGUCAAAUGAGGAAUAAUGAAAUAACUACAAAUAUAUACAAAAACUGGCAGAACUGAUGAAAUCCACAGCUUAGUAAUCAAUUGCAUUCUACUGAAAACAAUUUGCAUUUCUUUUUUUUUUUUUUUUUUUGAGACGGAGUCUCACUCAGCCGCCCAGGCUGGAGUGCAGUGGCGCAAGCUCGGCUCACCGCAACCACCAUCUCCCAGGUUCAAUAGAGUCUCCCGUCUCAGCCUCCCGAGUAGCUGGGAUUACAGGCACCCGCCAUCAUGCCCAGCUAGCUUUUUGUAUUUUAGUAGAGACAGGGUUUCACCGUGUUGGCCAGGCUGGUCUCGAACUCCUGACCUCAGGUGAUCCGCCUGUCUUGGCCUCCCAAAGUGUUAGGAUUACAGGCAUGAGCCACCGUGCCCGGCCACAAUUUGCAUUUCUAUAGACAAGAAGUGUCUAUAGUUUGUAUAGUUGUUCUGUAGCUCAAAGACAGUGAAAGGUUUAGAGUCUUCAUAGAAUCAGACAUCCUAGAAAAGUAAGCUGGACAGCUGGGCACCUUGUUUUUCAAUGACACCCAGUAAUCAUUUUUUUGUUGUUUGUCUUAGAUGGAGUCUUGCUCUGUCACCCAGACUGGAGUACAGUGGUGUGAUCUCAGCUCACUGCAACCUCCACUUCCCAGGUUCAAGCGAUUUUCCUGCCCCAGCUUCCCGAGCAGCUGGGACUACAGAAUAUGCUCUCCAUGAGGGUGUUCUUCAGGGCCUACCACAAUGGCUGGCACUAGAGAAGGGCACAAAAUUGAAGAACAGUGAAGACAAAAGCAAUAAGAUGAUUAAGGCCAUGUGAGACAGCAACAAUAUCAGGUGAAUGUCACCCUUUAUCGAGUUGUGAGUAUCCAGCCUCUCACUUUGGGGGAUACUGUUUGAGCCUAAGUAACAUUAGUGGCUUUAUUCAUUUGGUAGAUUGUUUGUAUCUUUGCGUUGUCUCUAUCCUGCUUUUUCCUUGGCCAUUUUGCUAUUAAAAAUCUGUUGAUUUACUCUGCAUUUUCCCAUAGA